GCGCCGCUAGCUCAACUGGCAGAGCAGCGGACUCUUAAUCUGCGGGUUCGGGGUUCGAGUCCCUGGCGGCGCA
rnacentral:tRNA from 1 species